rnacentral:rRNA from 1 species
AACGAACGCUGGUGGCGUGCUUAACACAUGCAAGUCGAACGAGAAAGUUUCCUUCGGGGAAUCAGUAAAGUGGCGCAAGGGUGAGUAACACGUGAAUAAUCUGCCCUCGAGAUCGGGAUAACAUGGUGAAAACUAUGCUAAUACCGGAUAAGACCACGUUUCUUAUGAAAUGUGGUAAAAGGAGUCUCAACCUUCACUCGAGGAUGAGUUCGCGCAACAUUAGCUUGUUGGUGAGAUAAAAGCUCACCAAGGCUACGAUGUUUAGCCGGCCUGAGAGGGUGAACGGCCACACUGGAACUGAGACACGGUCCAGACUCCUACGGGAGGCAGCAGUGGGGAAUAUUGCGCAAUGGGCGAAAGCCUGACGCAGCAACGCCGUGUGAGCGAUG